GCGUAUAUGUAGGCAUACAUGGCAGACAAUGGCAUAGGAACUUGCACAUUUUUGUUAUAUAUUUAGGCUAAACAAUGCUGGUAUAUCUCGUAAUUGAGGCAAGAUUUCAGCAAUACAGGAUUAGAAGACGGGGUUAGCACACACGGGUAGCCAUCAUUAGGAAAUACAAACACUGUUUGUUGUACCUAUGCCCCAUACGUUC